UACGUAGGGGGCGAGCGUUAUCCGGAUUUACUGGGCGUAAAGCGCGUUUAGGCGGCUUCUUAAGUUGGUGGUGAAAUUUCAGGGCUCAACCCUGAAACUGCCUCCAAUACUGGGGAGCUUGAGUGCGAGAGAGGAAAGUGGAAUUCCCGGUGUAGUAGUGAAAUGCGUAGAUAUCGGGAGGAACACCAGUGGCGAAGGCGGCUUUCUGGCUCGCAACUGACGCUGUAGCGCGAAAGCGUGGGGAGCGAACGGG
rnacentral:rRNA from 1 species